rnacentral:rRNA from 1 species
CCUACGGGAGGCAGCAGUGGGGAAUUUUGGACAAUGGGCGCAAGCCUGAUCCAGCAAUGCCGCGUGAGUGAAGAAGGCCUUCGGGUUGUAAAGCUCUUUUGUCAGGGAAGAAACGGUGGAGGCUAAUAUCCUUUGCUAAUGACGGUACCUGAAGAAUAAGCACCGGCUAACUACGUGCCAGCAGCCGCGGUAAUACGUAGGGUGCAAGCGUUAAUCGGAAUUACUGGGCGUAAAGCGUGCGCAGGCGGUUUUGUAAGUUUGUCGUGAAAUCCCCGGGCUCAACCUGGGAAUGGCGAUGAAGACUGCAAGGCUAGAAUCUGGCAGAGGGGGGUAGAAUUCCACGUGUAGCAGUGAAAUGCGUAGAGAUGUGGAGGAACACCGAUGGCGAAGGCAGCCCCCUGGGUCAAGAUUGACGCUCAUGCACGAAAGCGUGGGGAGCAAACAGGAUUAGAUACCCUGGUAGUCCACGCCCUAAACGAUGUCUACUAGUUGUCGGGUUUUAAUUAACUUGGUAACGCAGCUAACGCGUGAAGUAGACCGCCUGGGGAGACGGUCGCAGAUAAACUACAANAGAUAGAGGCGUGAGAGNGACGACGACGACGACGAGGAGGAGG